rnacentral:rRNA from 1 species
AUGUGCAUCUUCCUUCCGGAUGCCCUCGACGGCUUGCCGGGCCUGGUUGACAUGAUAGCAUCCCAGCCUGCUGACUUCUUGGAAAAGCACCUGCCGGAGGAGAAGAUCGAUGUUAGGGAGUUCCGGGUGCCCAAGUUCAAGCUCUCCUUCCAUGACAGUGUCGUCGCCAUCCUCAAGAAGCUGGGGCUUCAGUUGUCGUUCAGUGAUCAAGCCGAUUUGUCUGACAUGGUGGAGGAUGAUGAAUCUGGCUUGCCAUUGGUCUUGAACGACGUAAUCCACAAGGCGGUCAUCGAGGUAACCGAAGAAGGCACCAUAGCCGCGGCUGUGUCCAUAGAAGAAAUGUUAUUCGGUGGUUGUAAUUUCAUGCGUCCGCCACCUCCUCGAGUAGAUUUUGUAGCCGACCAUCCGUUUGCGUACUUAAUAGUGGAGGAGACAACCGGCGCAGUUGUCUUUGCAGGGCAUGUCCUUGACCCCUCCAUUGAGAGCUAG